AAAAAUGACAUUUGAAAAAAUAUCUUUAAAUGCAAAAGUUAUGAUCAAUGUCACAUGAUGAAAAAUAAUACAAAAUUAGAAGAAACUGGUCUGUUGCUUUUUUGUCUACCUUAAAUCAAUAUGUAUUGUUUUUAGGGAGGGUAAUAGAUACUUUUCUAUUGAGUACCCUCAUUAUCUAAUCCAAUUAAAUAAGAUUAGGGUAUGUUUGUUGGGAUGAUCUUGGAUCCAUGUAGACACUAAAAUCAUAAACAAAAAAAAAUGAAUUAAAAAAAUAUAAUAAAAAUUAAAAAAUAAAGAAGAAAUGAAAAAA
rnacentral:lncRNA from 1 species